UUCGGAUUGAAGCAACUGUGACUGAGCGGCGGACGGGUGAGUAACGCGUGGGUAACCUGCCUCAUACAGGGGGAUAACAGUUGGAAACGGCUGCUAAUACCGCAUAAGCGCACGGCAUCGCAUGAUGCAGUGUGAAAAACUCCGGUGGUAUGAGAUGGACCCGCGUCUGAUUAGCUAGUUGGUGGGGUAACGGCCUACCAAGGCGACGAUCAGUAGCCGACCUGAGAGGGUGACCGGCCACAUUGGGACUGAGACACGGCCCAAACUCC
rnacentral:rRNA from 1 species